rnacentral:sRNA from 1 species
CGUCGGCGAUCUGGGGGCAGAUGAAGUGGACGUGCGCGUCGACCGCGCCGGCCGUGAGGAUCCGUCCGUUGCCCGCGAUGACCUCGGUCUCCGGCCCGAGCACCAGGUCGGGGUGGACACCGUCCAUGGUGUCCGGGUUGCCGGCCUUGCCGAUACCGGUGAUGCGGCCGUCGCGGAUGCCGACGUCGGCCUUGACGACGCCCCAGUGGUCGAUGACGACGGCACCGGUGAUCACGGUGUCCGGCGUGCCCUCCGCGCGGUGGCACGGGCCUGGCCCAUCGACUCGCGGAUG